GCACCACAAGGGGUGAAGCUUGCGGUUUAAUUGGAGUCAACGCCGGAAAUCUCACCGGGGGCGACAGCAGGAUGAAAGCCAGAUUAAAGGUCUUGCCAGACGAGCUGAGAGGAGGUGCAUGGCCGUCGCCAGUUCGUGCCGUGAGGUGUCCUGUUAAGUCAGGCAACGAUCGAGACCCGCAUCCCCCGUUGCAACUAGCCUUGAGCUGGGCACACUGGGGACACCGCCGCCGAUAAGGCGGAGGAAGGAGCGGGCCACGGCAGGUCAGUAUGCCCCGAAUCUCCCGGGCCACACGCGAGCUGCAAUGGCAGGCACAAUGGGUUCCGACCUCGAAAGGGGGAGGCAAUCUCUAAAACCUGCCGUAGUUGGGAUCGAGGGUUGAAACCCACCCUCGUGAACAUGGAAUCCCUAGUAAUCGCGUGUCACUAGCACGCGGUGAAUACGUCCCUGCUCCUUGCACACACCGCCCGUCAAACCACCCGAGUGGGGUUUAUGUGAGGGCGUGGUUUUUGCCACGUUCGAACAUAGGUUCCGCAAGGGGGGUU
rnacentral:rRNA from 1 species